AACGAACGCUGGCGGCAGGCCUAACACAUGCAAGUCGAACGCAUCGCAAGAUGAGUGGCAGACGGGUGAGUAACGCGUGGGAACCUUCCCAGUGGUGCGGAAUAGCUCAGGGAAACUUGAGGUAAUACCGCAUGAGCCCGCAAGGGGAAAGAUUUAUCGCCAUUGGAUGGGCCCGCGUCGGAUUAGCUAGUUGGUGAGGUAACGGCUCACCAAGGCGACGAUCCGUAGCUGGUUUGAGAGAAUGACCAGCCACACUGGGACUGAGACACGGCCCAGACUCCUACGGGAGGCAGCAGUGGGGAAUAUUGGACAAUGGGCGCAAGCCUGAUCCAGCCAUGCCGCGUGAGUGACGAAGGCCUUAGGGUUGUAAAGCUCUUUUGGCGGGGACGAUAAUGACGGUACCCGCAGAAUAAGCCCCGGCUAACUUCGUGCCAGCCGCCGCUGUAACAC
rnacentral:rRNA from 1 species